UACGUAGGGGGCUAGCGUUGUCCGGAAUCAUUGGGCGUAAAGCGCGUGUAGGCGGCUCGGUAAGUCCGCUGUGAAAGUCGGGGGCUCAACCCUCGGAUGCCGGUGGAUACUGUCGGGCUAGAGUACGGAAGAGGCGAGUGGAAUUCCUGGUGUAGCGGUGAAAUGCGCAGAUACCAGGAGGAACACCAAUUGCGAAGGCAGCUCGCUGGGACGUUACUGACGCUGAGACGCGAAAGCGUGGGGAGCAAACAGG
rnacentral:rRNA from 1 species